rnacentral:rRNA from 1 species
ACUCAAAUGAAUUGACGGGGACCCGCACAAGCGGUGGAGCAUGUGGUUUAAUUCGAUACAACGCGCAGAACCUUACCAAGGUUUGACAUGGAGGGCAAAGUUGAAGAAACUCAACGGAGGUUAUCCCGACACAGGUGGUGCAUGGUCGUCGUCAGUUCGUGCUGUGAGGCGUACGCUUAAGUGCUAGAACGAACGCAACCCUCAUAUUUAGUUGCUAUCAUUUAGUUGAGAACUCUAAAUAGACUGCUAAGAAAACUUAGAGGAAGGAGAGGAUGACGUCUGAUCAUCAUGCCCCUUACACCUUGGGCUACACACGUGCUACAAUGGUUAGGACAAAGGGUCGCCAACCCGCGAGGGGCAGCUAAUCUCAAAAAACUAACCUUAGUUCGGAUUGGAGUCUGCAACUCGACUCCAUGAAGUAGGAAUCGCUAGUAAUCGUGAAUCAGCAAUGUCACGGUGAAUAUGUUCUCGGGUCUUGUACACACCGCCCGU